rnacentral:rRNA from 1 species
CACGAAAUAAUAUGAGCUAAGGAUUAUAUAUAAUAGUAGUAUAAUAUGUUGCAGAAUGUGUCAGAAUAGUCCUUAGGGGUGAUAGACCUCACAAAUAUUAAAAUAUCUUGUUUACCUUUAAACUUAUUUAGUAAAAAGACAGACCCGGAGUGCUAAUAUUUCUGGUUAUAAUUAACCUUCACACUAUGGAGCUAUCUAGUGUAAGAACGUAUAAAUAGUUAACUAUAAUAUUUAUUUGCAUUAGUUAUUAACAUUAGGGGGAAAUAUUUUAACUUAAGUUAAUAUCUAUAAUGUUAAUAUUAGUAGUCAUAUAGAAGUAUUAAAUGAACUCGGCUAAAAUUGCUCGACUGUUUAUCAAAAACAUAGCUAGAUGUUAUUAUAUUUAGUGCUUCCUGCUCAAUGAUAUAUUUAAUAGCCGCAGUACCUUGACUGUGCAAAGGUAGCAUAAUCAAUUGGCUUAUAAUUGAAGUCUAGAAUGAACGGAUAUACGAGUAGUUACUGUAUCUGAUACUUACUAUGAAAUUGAUCUUCAAGUGCAAAUACUUGUAAAUAACUGUUAGACGAGAAGACCCUAGAAAUUUAUACUGAUGUUUCGUUGGGGCAACGUAGUAGGAAAACCUACAGUAAAAGACCGGAAAAAAAUUUGAGAGAAAAAAUUACUCUAGGGAUAACAGCAUAAUUUAUAAAAGUUUGUGACCUCGAUGUUGGAUUUGGGAGCUAUAGUUCAGA